CGAUAUGGGAAGGUUGAGCUGUUGUUUAUCUGUUCCUAGAGAUGCUAGAAUUCUGGAGAAUUUUAUCUUUUAAAAUCUUUAAAAUGUUGCAUGAUGAGUUCCUGUAUGAUGAGAGUUUAAAUUCCUACCACAGCCAUAUAUACAUGCUUGCUAGACUUUGAGCCAUAUAUUUACUUUUUACUGCUUAUGAGAAUUGAGUGUGGUCAAGCUGUGUAGACCCUU
rnacentral:lncRNA from 1 species